AUCUCCCUCACAUAAUGCUCGGUUGUUUUGACAUAAUCGAACAGCUGACGAGCCGAAUGUAACAAGUGCGAUCAAACUUUGCAGGAAACUGCCCAGAUGCGUGCGGGCUGUGCAAGACUCAGAUCAAUAUUAAUGGAAAAUGUCGAAACAAAUGCAAAUCGAUUUCACCAAAUGUGGUUUUACCAAAAGUGGAUCCGAUCACGUUAACAAGCAAGCUUACCAACUAUGGCCAAGUUAACACAUCAAUGAAACUGGAGGCGCAAUCAGGUGACCUAGGGGAGCAGAUUUUGCGCGUUGAGCACCCGUCUGUUUUUGGACGUUAAUGGACCUCCGUUGGUAUAUUUCAACCCAAAACCAUUCGUGAUGUCAUGUCUUAAAGCAGGCCAUCGUUUGUCUGCUUCGUGGAAAACUGGGACAGGUGCCAAGAGAAAGAAAAAGAAGCGACUUUGGGACUACAUCCAAUAGCUUCGGGAAGGAAUCUUGACUAACCCUCCAAGGAUUGGAGGACGAAUGUAAUCACCGUGGAGGAACAGAGGCCGCCAGGUGAGCUGCAGGGCCAGGUGAGCGACCGCGGUUGCCGUGCCAACUCCGGGGCUGAGGCAGCUGCCGUCGGCGCGGUGCUGGCAGCCGAUCCAUCACAGAGUGCGCUGGAGAGAGAGAGACGUGGCGGGGGCCUAACUGUGAGCCCCCCCCCCUCCCCACUCAGCAUUACAGCCAAUUAGAGGCGUCCCACAGAGCCUGUCACUGACAGCCAGGCCACGCCGGUUAGACCCUGGUUAGGAUGCACCCCCCUGUUCCCCACACAGGUGCUUCAGUAGAAUACACCAUUACUCCACUCUGGAAGGCACAAACUGAGGAGAGUUCACACAGAACUGCUGAGCCCUGUGAACAUGCACACGGGGUGCUCUGACUCCUGUGCAACCAGGGCGUGUUGACAACCGAAACACUAAUCUGCAAAAAGCCUUGGAGAAUGCAUCGUUUUUAAAUACGCUUUGUUUACCGACUCUGUUUCACUUCACCCUCCAGUUACUGCACCGAGCAAGCACAGGGUAAAUUGCAUCUUUACGUUUAAAGUGUUGUGAUUGUAACUAUUAAAUGUAUUUUAUUUAGUUGAA